GCACUUUGGUGACAUAGAUUGCCA
rnacentral:siRNA from 1 species